rfam:Clostridium puniceum strain DSM 2619 CLPTN_contig000089, whole genome shotgun sequence.
GGGGGCGUUUUGGCUUCGACGGGGGUGGGAUAGGGUUUGUUAAGCGAGUCGAGGGACGCAUGGAGCCUCGUUAAUAAAGUAUGCAUUAAAUGUAAACGCAGAAGAUAAUUUUGCAUUAGCAGCUUAGUUUAAAGCUGUUCAUCAGCCCAGGUUGCCUACGGCUUGGAUCACUGGUGUCAUUUAAGUGGGAAACGAAGUUUAGCAAAGCUUUGAGCUAAAGGGGUAUUAAUGAAGCUACCGGAAAGUAUAGCCUGUCUAAGGGCGAUGCUUUUGGGGAAUCUUAAAACUUAGACUGCACUCGGAGAAAGGCAAAUUCAGCUGCUUUCGGACAGGGGUUCGAUACCCCUCGCCUCCACCA